UACGUAGGGUCCGAGCGUUGUCCGGAUUUAUUGGGCGUAAAGAGCUCGUAGGCGGCUCAGUAAGUCGGAUGUGAAAACUCAGGGCUCAACCCUGAGACGCCAUCCGAUACUGCUGUGGCUUGAAUCUGGUAGGGGAGCACGGAAUUCCUGGUGUAGCGGUGAAAUGCGCAGAUAUCAGGAGGAACACCGGCGGCGAAGGCGGUGCUCUGGGCCAGUAUUGACACUGAGGCGCGAAAGCCAGGGGAGCAAACGGG
rnacentral:rRNA from 1 species